rnacentral:lncRNA from 1 species
CUCAGUCAUAGGUUCCCAAGCGUCAGCUCGUAGGGGAAUGGGAGGAGGCUGGGAGCUUUAAAUUGCCAAGUGUGACCAGAAAUCUAGGGAAGCCACUAAAGAAGUCAUGAGGAAACUGGCCAAGAUGUGGCCUGACUGAAGGCAGCGAGUGGUGAAACCACUACAGCUCAGACUGCCCAUGAACCUGUGUCAGUCAGGGGAGGGCAGAGGGCCAGACAGGGAGCAGGGAGGAAGCCAGGCCUUUUGCUGAGCUGAAUACAUCACCUGUGACCAGAGCCUGUGGACAGUUUAGCAAGUAGCCUCCCACUGUGCGUCUGUGCCUGGUGGGGCCAGGGAAGCUGUGAUGCAAAGCAGGAGAGAAACAUCAUUGCUUAUAAUAACAGUCUGGUGCCGCCCAGUAUCCACACAGAGCCAGAACUCAACAAGAGGUGGAAGGUUACAGGUGGCUGGAGCUGGAAGUCAUCCAAACAGCAUAGGUUGGCAGGACAACUUGAGGCUGGCCACAGGUACUGUGUUCUUCUGGUGAUCA